rnacentral:rRNA from 1 species
GAUCAUGGCUCAGGAUGAACGCUAGCGGCAGGCUUAACACAUACAAGUCGAGGGGCAGCGCGGGAUAGCAAUAUCCUGGCGGCGACCGGCGGAAGGGUGCGUAACGCGUGAGCGACAUGCCCGUUGCCCGGGGACAACCGGUGGAAACGCCGACCAAUCCCCGAUGGGAUAUUGUGCCGCAUGGCACGAUAUUGAAAGUUACGGCGGCGACGGAUUGGCUCGCGUCCGAUUAGCUUGUUGGCGGGG